GACGAACGCUGGCGGCGUGCUUAACACAUGCAAGUCGAACGGUAAGGCCCUUCGGGGUACACGAGUGGCGAACGGGUGAGUAACACGUGGGUGAUCUGCCCUGCACUUCGGGAUAAGCCUGGGAAACUGGGUCUAAUACCGGAUAGGACCACUGCCUGCAUGGGUGGUGGUGGAAAGCUUUUGCGGUGUGGGAUGGGCCCGCGGCCUAUCAGCUUGUUGGUGGGGUGAUGGCCUACCAAGGCGACGACGGGUAGCCGGCCUGAGAGGGUGACCGGCCACACUGGGACUGAGAUACGGUCCAGACUCCUACGGGAGGCAGCAGUGGGGAAUAUUGCACAAUGGGCGCAAGCCUGAUGCAGCGACGCCGCGUGAGGGAUGACGGCCUUCGGGUUGUAAACCUCUUUCAGCAUCGACGAAGCGAAAGUGACGGUAGGUGCAGAAGAAGGACCGGCCAACUACGUGCCAGCCGCCGCAGUAA
rnacentral:rRNA from 1 species